UGGGGAAUAUUGCACAAUGGGCGCAAGCCUGAUGCAGCCAUGCCGCGUGUGUGAAGAAGGCCUUCGGGUUGUAAAGUACUUUCAGUCGGGUGGAAGGUGGUAAGGUUAAUAACCUUAUCAAUUGACGUUACCGACAGAAGAAGCACCGGCUAACUCUGUGCCAGCAGCCGCGGUAAUACGGAGGGUGCAAGCGUUAAUCGGAAUUACUGGGCGUAAAGCGUACGCAGGCUGUUGAUUGAGUCAGAUGUGAAAUCCCCGGGCUUAACCCGGGAAUUGCAUCUGAUACUGGUCAGCUAGAGUGUUGUAGAGGGGGGUAGAAUUCCAUGUGGAGCAGGGAAAUGCGUAGAAAUGUGGAGGAAUACCGGUUGCGAGGGCGGCCCCCUGGGCAAAGACUGACGCUCAGGUGCGAAAGCGUGGGGAGCAAACAGG
rnacentral:rRNA from 1 species